rnacentral:tRNA from 1 species
GGGAUAGCUCAGUUGGU